rnacentral:rRNA from 1 species
UACGGAAGGCAGCAGUGGGGAAUCUUGCGCAAUGGGCGAAAGCCUGACGCAGCCAUGCCGCGUGAAUGAUGAAGGUCUUAGGAUUGUAAAAUUCUUUCACCGGGGACGAUAAUGACGGUACCCGGAGAAGAAGCCCCGGCUAACUUCGUGCCAGCAGCCGCGGUAAUACGAAGGGGCUAGCGUUGCUCGGAAUUACUGGGCGUAAAGGGAGCGUAGGCGGACAUUUAAGUCAGGGGUGAAAUCCGGGGCUCAACCUCGGAAUUGCCUUUGAUACUGGGUGUCUUGAGUAUGAGAGAGGUGUGUGGAACUCCGAGUGUAGAGGUGAAAUUCGUAGAUAUUCGGAAGAACACCAGUGGCGAAGGCGACACACUGGCUCAUUACUGACGCUGAGGCUCGAAAGCGUGGGGAGCAAACAGGGAUUAGAUACCCGU